GACGAACGCUGGCGGCGUGCCUAAUACAUGCAAGUCGAACGCAGUGGGGACGGGUUAGUAACCCGUGGCUAACCUCCCAUCAGACGGGAUAACACUUGGUAACAGCUGCUAAACCGAUACUGCUGGAUGGACUCGCGGUGCAUUAGCUAGUUGGUGAGGGAACGGCUCACCAAGGCCACGAUGCAUAGCCGAGCUGAGAGGGUGAUAGGCCAAACGGGGACUGAGACACGGUCCAGACUCCUACGGGAGGCAGCAGUGGGGAAGCUGCGGCAAUUGACGAAAGUCUGAACGAGCAACGCCGCGGGAGUGAAGAAGGGUUUCGGGUCUUAAAGCUCUGUUGUUAGAGAGGCGGUAUCUGACGAGAAAGCCACGGCUAACUACGUGCCAGCAGCCGCGGUAAUAC
rnacentral:rRNA from 1 species